rnacentral:lncRNA from 1 species
AUUUGUGAGGUAAGUCAUUUUUGCCCACAAUUGUUUAUAAAAAGUUUUGUUUUUUAGUCUUUUUUUUUGUAGUGCAUUUUACUUUGAUUAGCAUUAUAUAUAGUUUUAAUAUUUUCUCAUCAGAUAUUAAUGUUUAAUGGUGUUAUAUCUCCUUAGUUGUUUACCUUAACAGUAUCCACUAUAGAGUCGUUUGGCUGUUUGAUCAUUAACCAACAAGGAAAGUUAGGAGAUUGUAGGUUAGGAACAAUCUAGAUGUACACAGAUGCCAAUAAACUGGGUUGAGUUUGGUAUAGCCUAGUGGGCUUUGGUGUCCAGUUCUCUGGUGGAGUUCACAUUUGACGUGUCAGUCUUCUGCUGUGGCUAAGGCUUGCAAGGGAAACGACAACAAAGUUAUACCUGGUCUGAGAAACUUGAAAUCUAUUUUACAGUCAACUAAUAAGUAAUGUACAUUGGGAUUAUAAUGAAUAUGAAGGUGGCCUUAGUACAAAAAUGCAGAGAGGAAUAAUUGAUGUAGUUUAGUUUUCCUUUCUGUUAUUGGCAGUAAGAACUUAGGAAAACAACAGCAAAUCCAUAGCUUUAUCCCUUUCUUGAAGGAUGAGUGUGGUUUCAGAAGGUUAUAUACAAACUAUAGUGAGAAUACAGGUUGACUGUCAGAAAUACCAUGAGUAGAGAAAUUGAAUACCUUUAGAAGAAAGGUUAGCUAGUCCCAUGUGGCUAUAAUACUGACAGUUACAGAUUCUUCUCAUAAAAUCUAGGUGACAUGUAGCUUUUGAUGUAUCAUGAAGCUGUCAAAUAAUGUGAUGUUUAUUCCAAAGUCAUUGAAUCCACCAGAAACAUUUGAGAAGUCAACAAAGACAGUAUCUGUUUCAGACAGAAAAACGGAAAGAAUAGAGAAAAUAAGAUACAUCAUAGCUAAUUCCUAUAAUAGAUAAUUCCUUUGCCACAUAUGCUAGACUAAAAAUAUGGCAAUGGAUUGUUAAAAUGGUAUAGAAAUUUUAAAGUAAAGUAUUUCUCAGCCUUCCUAAUGCUGUGAGGACUAAUAAGGAAUAUGGUUCCUCAUGUUGUGGUGACCUCCAACCUUAAAAUUAUUUUCAUUACUAUUUCAUAACUGUAAUUUUGCUAGUUAUAAAUUGUAAUGUAUAUCUGUGUUUUCUGAUGGUCUUAGGCAGCCCUUGUGAAAGGGUUAUUCAACUCCCAAAGGGGUCACAACCCACAGGUUGAAAAACACUGAUCUAUAAGAUAAAAACCAUUAGGUAACUUAUUAAAAGGUAGAAUUGAGGGACAAGUUGAAGAAUACUGACAGAUUUUCUAGCUCCAUUCUUUAGGCUCAUGUCAUUGCCCAUUAAGGAUAAUGAGAAAUAUGGUAAACUCUGGAAUCUUGAAUUGGCUCAUUCUCAUUGAUAAUUUCCUAUCUUUGAAGAAGUUUAAGGAUAAAUUACAGAUGGGGGCAUUGAUGAUCUAUUCCAAACUUUGAACUUUGCUAAUUCUGUUGUUGACUUUAAUUUUAAAUUAUUUACUUCAUUUAGCAUUUUAGUGGUGUAUAAGGUAGUCAGAGGAAAUUAAUGAGGAAGUAAAUGUGUCUUAUACCUUGAAAAAAUAUCUGAGGAUGAGUCGUACACAAGGUUAUUUUAAGACAGAUAUAUUAUUUCUAAUGUUUCAAAAACUCUUACUUUUAACAUGAAGCUUAUAACAAAUACUUACUGUUACUUGCCAGUUUCUUCAUCUAUAAAAUAAUCAGUAUAUUCAUUCAUUUCACAGGUGUAUUUUGAAGUUUUAGUAAGCACUAGGUACUAUGACAUGCUCUGGCAGUGCAAAUAUGAACACAGUCUUUGUAUUCAAAGAGUUCAGUCUAUACGGUUGCCUGUGAUGGAUUCUGUCAAGGAAACAUGCAAAGAAAAUAGUGAUCACUUGACAAAUUGUAUACUAAUGUUUUGAUUUAAAAGAAAAAUAAACUGGUAUUUAGUAAAAUUUUUAAUUAAGUUCUAUUAGAAUUGUCAUGGUUAUACCAUUAAUUUCUUUCAUUCACCUAAAUAUGAUUGCUCUCAUGUCUUGAGGUUUGGUGCAGUAUAAACAUUUUCAGUCUCAGUCUCACACUCCUGCUUGCUCCCCCACCCCCAUCUUUUAACUGUACAGUUUUUUUUUAAAGUAGAAGACUAUAACAUAGAAGCAGUACAAUAAACAUUAUCAUAUCUGUUGACCCCAUUUUUCAUUUGUGUAAAACAGGUGGAGGUUUUUGAUCUGCUUUUUGUCACUAAUGAGAGUAAUUCUCGAAAAACCUACAUAGUACAUUGCCAAGAUUGUGCACGAAAAACAAGUGGGAAUCUGGAAAAUUUUGUGGUGCUAGAACAGUACAAAAUGGAGGAUCUGAUGCAAGUCUAUGACCAAUUUACAUUAGUAAGUGAAAUCAACAUGUGAGUACAUUAGAUCAGUUGGGAGGCAGUAGUGUUUGCUCUGCUACCUGAUAAAUAGGAGGUAAUGAAAUAUGUAGAUUUUCUUUUUGCUUAUCAAGAUACUUCAUGAGAGUAUAUUUAUAUUUCUUUUACCACCUUCUCCAAGUACUUAUUCCUAUAAAAUUGACAUAUCACUUUUGCCUUGCUUCUUGGAGAGACCAGCCUAAAAAUAAUGGUUAAAACUGUAUGAUUUACAAUGCUAUCAUGAUUUUCAUAUUGUUUCAUCUUGGCUGGUGAAAUGUUUGCUUAAAUAGUGUCUACAAAAUAAAGCAGUGUGAGUGUGCUUUGAAAUAUACUUCUGCUUUUAGGGCUAAUUGAAUUUGUUUAAAAUUGUGUACUGGCAGAUGUUUUAAUCUCGUGGGAGUAUUUGAGGAGUGUUUAACUUCCUUGCAUGUGGUAUAACCUUAUGAAUUUUAAGUGUACUCACAAAUCACAAAGUUUUUCAUUGUAAGCAGCAGAUACAGGAAGCAUUUCACUCAAAACAGAUCUGACUAGAACUACAGACAUAAUUUAUGAAUUUUUUUUUCUUCCAAUACUUUCCACAUACAUGUAAUCAAAACCUAGCUUUUGAAGUUUAGCUCCUGGUAUUUUCAUUUGGAUGGUGUUCAAGAUUGCUUC